rnacentral:rRNA from 1 species
UACGGAGGGGACUAGCGUUGUUCGGAAUUACUGGGCGUAAAGCGCACGUAGGCGGAUUUGUAAGUCAGGGGUGAAAUCCCGAGGCUCAACCUCGGAACUGCCUUUGAUACUGCAAAUCUCGAGUCCGGAAGAGGUGAGUGGAAUUCCUGGUGUAGCGGUGAAAUGCGCAGAUAUCAGGAGGAACACCCGUGGCGAAGGCGGCUCUCGUGGGACGGUACUGACGCUGAGACGCGAAAGCGUGGGGAGCGAACAGG